AGUGAACGCUGGCGGCAGGCCUAACACAUGCAAGUCGAGCGGCAGCGGGUCCCCGCGAGGGGAUGCCGGCGAGCGGCGGACGGGUGAGGAACACAUCGGAAUCUGCCUGGUUGUGGGGGAUAACCCGUAGGGAAACUUACGCUAAUACCGCAUGCGACCCUGAGUCGACGGACUUGGGGUGAAAGUGAGGGACCUUCGGGCCUCACGCGACCAGAUGAGCCGAUGUCGGANAGCUAGUUGGCGGGGUAACGGCCCGCCAAGGCGACGAUCCGUAGCUGGUCUGAGAGGAUGAUCAGCCACACUGGGACUGAGACACGGCCCAGACUCCUACGGGAGGCAGCAGUGGGGAAUCUUGGACAA
rnacentral:rRNA from 1 species